UUGAACACCAGGAGAGGCUCAGAGUAUGAAUGUGCAGAACCAACACCGUGGAAAGGAAGACACAGGGUGAGCAUCUGGAAGAAGUCUUUGGGAAAGUCCAGUCUGUAGCACAUUGAUCUUGAUUGUCUAGUCAUCCAGUGUGAUAGACUCAGGAGCCGGCAACUGUAGCUCCUCUCCAGUGAACUACUGAAGAGCUGGUGGGAUCUUUGAAAGGCUAAACGUGUUUACAACAAAAGAAAUGGAUUCAUGUGUGAAGGCCACUGAUAGGAAAGGAUUAACAUUUGGAAGCCUGCAUUGAGGUAAAAAGAUCAUUCCACCCCAAAUUUUAGAGUUAAGCUCUUCAAUCUGACUCCUGGACCACCCGCCCCCUUCCUUCUCUGUACCCCCACCCCACCUCCACCCCAUGCCCCGUGCCCACUUCAGUGAAAGCCGUGCUUGGAAACGGAUAUAACACGUAUGUUUUAAGGAGGCCCCCGUUGGUGAGUUAUCGUGACAUUUUUCUAUUUGGUUUCGGGAUUCUGGUUAUGGGGAACCCUGACUGGGAACCGGGAGGACCUGCCAAGGUUUAUGCACCCUACUCAGGGUAAAGGGAGAUGCCCCAUGGUCCACUAGUCAAUUCUGGUUAAUCUUGGAGUUCAGCCAGAGUCACCAGUUUUCUUUUGUUCUUCUUCUGACUGUUUUCUCAUGAGAGCACUUACUAGAGAUACCAGGCAAUAAGCUCUAGAGGCCAAUGUGCCCCAGUGAAUUAGAGAGACCAAGCAUACGGGUAUUUAUCCGUGGGGUUCCAAUACCUGGGUGUCACAUCAGAACUGAGAAACCAUAGGGGCAUUCAAUGACCCUGGGGCCAAGCUCAGGGUUUCACCAGGCCCAGAGUAGAUUAGGGAGUUGAGGAAAUUCAGAGAUGUCCAGCCUGUGAUGGGUUCCUACCAUCUAGGUUAUAAGGGGAAGCUACUAAGAAAGUGGCCUCUGAUUUUCUCUUGGUCAGACUGGUGGACCUCUGGAGCAGAAGACUUAGUUGUUGAAUGUCUCCUGUUUUCUGUUGCCGUUUGGUGCUGUGUCUUGUCUCGUGCAUGUACCUAUUGUUCAGUAUUCUGACUCGGGGUGACUGGAUAUACCAACGAUAGGAUACACUGCUCCAAAGGUUACUCCUGAAACUGCGGAGCUGUGGGAACAUGGGAUAUGGUUGGUCUGUUCACAGACGGGUCUGGUGGCUUCGUUUCUUCAAUGGCUCUAUGAUGCAGGUACUAUACCCCUCUAGGCAUUGGAUUCAGCAGCGGCUAUCUCGACCUGCUUUUUGCCCUUUGAAAUUACAGCAUUGGAGGAGGUACCAUUAAGCCGAUGGUUAUUAGAUAUCAAUAUAAACAAGUAUCAAACAUAGAAUCAAGGAUUUGACCCAGGAUACAACUCAAGGGGCAAGUAUAAAACCUGCAAGCCCCACCUGCCCAAGAAUCAGGUAACUUUGUGGAAUGCUGGGAGUUGUAGUUCUUUGGGGGAAUAACAAAGCCACAUGGGAAAAUAUAGUGGUCAUAUGGUUUUGUCCUUAGAAGCCCCUACAUCAUGUGUCUUUUGGAUACUCUCUGAGAAACCAGGGGUGGUCCUGAUCAAAGUUCAUCCUGGUCAGUAUUUAAUUAAAGCUUGCUUCAAACUUGACUCAAAGUUGUAGAACUAUUUUUUCUCUUUUGAAUCUCAGGAUUAACAGAACCUUCAGGAGAUAGAGAUAAUCUGGAAGAGGGUAGGGUAUAGGAGAGUGGGCCUUAUGGGGCUAUUUCCCACUAGUUCCUGAAUCUUCUACCUUUCUUGGUCUCCAGAUAUAACCAGCCACUUCAUACUGCUACUUCUGUGAGCUGUUCCUGCUACUAUUUCCUGCCUACCACAAUGGAGCUCAGCCAUAAACCACAGUCCAGUAUAAAUGCUUGCUUCCUAAGGGUUUUCAAGAUUGGCUUUCUCUGUGUAGCUCUGGCUGUCCUAGAGCAUGCUCUAUAGACUAGGCUGGCAUCAGACUCAAAGAUCUGCCUGCCUCUGCUUCCCAAGUGCUAAGACAUUAACAAAAACCACCAGGACAAGCUUCCAUGGGGAUAAGAAUCCAUCACAGCAGUGAAGUAUGACAGCAAGCCACAGGCUGGAGUGAGAUGCUGAGGACUCACAUCUUGAACUGCAAGCAAGACCAGAGUAUGUGGACAAGGACAGACGUGUGGCUUUUGAAACCUCAGAUCCUGUUCCAGUGAUGUACUUCCUCCAACAAGGCCACAUUUUCUAAGCUUUCCCAAAUACUGUUCCCAACUGAGGACCAAGUAUUCAAAUAUUCAAACAUCUGAACCUUUGGGGGACAUCAUCAUUCUAGCCAUCAAAACUAUCUGUAUAUUUAUCAAUCAAUCAAUCUAUCUAUCUAUCUAUCUAUCUAUCUAUCUAUCCAUCCAUCCAUCCAUCUAUCCAUCUAUCUAUCUACCUUCUGUCAUCUAUCUAUAUUGAGACCCUCUCUUGGUCCAGAGACUGUAGUAGGAACAUCUAAUUAGACAGAUCUUGUUCACAGAUUCACUGAACAUUGCAGAAAUGGGAUGCUUUGUGGUGCUCCAUCUACCUGUGACUUUGAAUUUGAGUCCACUCUUGUAUGUUCAUAUUUUGUGAUACCACCCUUCAUUCAAGUCAUUUGUUAUAGGGUUUGUUAGUUUUCAGCCCAGUUUUUCUUUCCCCAAUCCUUAAGAGAAAACAACUAUUUUACUCAUGCUUUUUCCUACCCAGGUAGAAACAUAUUUUUUUAAACUCCCCAAUUCUAGAAACUCUUGUCUUUUAACAUAAAGAUUUGGCACCAUGC